GAUACAGCUGAAGUUUUCCCGCUGCCUGAAUUCUUUAAUUGGAAAAGACUCAAGACAAAUAUGAGAGGCCACCAGAUCCCUUCCUGUCAUCUAGUACCAUAUUUACCAAGGUGUAGGGCAAGCCUGAAUGGAAGGUGGCCUCUCACUUAUGUUUUAGCAGAUCCUAACUUCCUGGAAAAGUCUGAAGACAUCCUGCAGACGUAAGGUCCUGAUUGCACACAUAACCAUGUGAUUGCCUGAAUUUAGCUGUAGCAUUUACACUUCCAGCUUACAAGAAGUUUGUUGGGGGCCAUUCCUGAACAUUUCUGUUCACUCAGACAAGCAGAACAUAAGCUGUCCUCUAUAAAUAGGGAAGCUGAUAUAAAAUUGUUUUGUUUGGACCUGUAUCCCAAUAUUGCAAAUAGUCAAAGUGCUCAGAGCCACAUGAAAACACAGCUUUGAACCACAGGAGAAAAGUCAUGGCUCAAGGAUGUAUUACACAUACAUGAGGACUACGUGGAUCACUUGACAGCUUACAGAUGCUUGGGAGGAAUACAUUUCAGGAAGGCCAGGGCUGUAGAUCAUUGCCUGGCGUCUCUUCAGCUCUCUAAACUGUUCUCUCCAGGAUCAGGUUUCAGAAAGGAAUGCCGUCACGGGACAUUUUAACGAUGACUAAAACUGCUGACUUUCCAGUGCGAUGUUUAACCUCCCAUUCCACACUCCACACUUGCUUUAUUUACUAAUUCAGCCUGUAGCUGUGAUGUGGCAGAAGACUGGGGAUAAACUAUGCCUUGACAGCAUAUGUAUGAGUGGAGAAAGUACCACCAUCUCCCCAGACACUCUACUUGUACAAGCCCAGAGAACUUAACUUUUUGUGAAAUUCUGAUUGUGGUGUGGGUUGUCACAGUAGCCUCUCUUCUGAAACAGUAGGAAAAGCCUUCAUCUGCAGUCAGGGAGAGAGAAUGAACAGGAACUGGCUCACUCUCAGCUGAAAAAAUAGCUAUAGAAUCCCAAGCUGCAAUGUAUCUUCUGUUUACAUUCUCCAUACUGGGAGGGAGGAUCUGGACAGGGUCCAUUGCAAAGGCAACAGCUGCAGGGAGGUUUUAUAGCCACAUGGUUCUACUAGACAUGGCUUUCUGGUGUCAGGGGAUCAAUUUAAGACAACUCCUGCAAAAUAUAUUUUUGGGUGUAUUUCAACAAAU